rnacentral:rRNA from 1 species
AAUGGGAAACCCCAGUGUGUUUCGACACACUAUCAUUAACUGAAUCCAUAGGUUAAUGAGGAGAACCGGGGGAACUGAAACAUCUAAGUACCCCGAGGAAAAGAAAUCAACCGAGAUUCCCCCAGUAGCGGCGAGCGAACGGGAGGAGCCCAGAGCCUGAAUCAGUGUGUGUGUUAGUGGAAGCGUCUGGAAAGGCGCGCGAUACAGGGUGACAGNCCCGUACACNAAAAUGCACAUACUGUGAGCUCGAUGAGUAGGGCGGGACACGUGGUAUCCUGUCUGAAUAUGGGGGGACCAUCCUCCAAGGCUAAAUACUCCUGACUGACCGAUAGUGAACCAGUACCGUGAGGGAAAGGACGAAAAGAACCCCGGCGAGGGGAGUGAAAAAGAACCUGAAACCGUGUACGUACAAGCAGUGGGAGCCUCUUAAUGGGGUGACUGCGUACCUUUUGUA